rnacentral:rRNA from 1 species
CCUUUGGUGCCGAAGUUAACACAUUAAGCAUUCCGCCUGGGGAGUACGGUCGCAAGACUGAAACUCAAAGGAAUUGACGGGGACCCGCACAAGCAGUGGAGCAUGUGGUUUAAUUCGAAGCAACGCGAAGACCCUUACCAGGUCUUGACAUCCCUCUGACCGGUCUAGAGAUAGGCCUUUCCUUCGGGACAGAGGAGACAGGUGGUGCAUGGUUGUCGUCAGCUCGUGUCGUGAGAUGUUGGGUUAAGUCCCGCAACGAGCGCAACCCUUGAAUCCAGUUGCCAGCACGUUGGGGUGGGCACUCUGGAUUGACUGCCGGUGACAAACCGGAGGAAGGUGGGGAUGACGUCAAAUCAUCAUGCCCCUUAUGACCUGGGCUACACACGUGCUACAAUGGCCGGUACAACGGGCUUGCGAAGCGGUGACGCGGAGCGAAUCCUUCAAAGCCGGUCUCAGUUCGGAUUGCAGGCUGCAACUCGCCUGCAUGAAGUCGGAAUUGCUAGUAAUCG